UGGCUCAGUUGGUAGAGCGUGGUGUUUGCAACGCCAGGGUUGUGGGUUCGAUUCCUAC
rnacentral:tRNA from 1 species